AUUGAACGCUGGCGGCAGGCCUAACACAUGCAAGUCGAACGAGUGGCGGAAGGGUGAGUAAUGUCUGGGAAACUGCCUGGUGGAGGGGGACAACUACUGGAAACGGUAGCUAAUACCGCAUACCACAAGCUCUGCCGAGAUGGGAUUAGCGAGUAGGUGGGGUAAUGGCUCACCUAGGCGACGAUCCCUAGCUGGUCUGCGAGGAUGACCAGCCACACUGGAACUGAGACACGGUCCAGACUCCUACGGGAGGCAGCAGUGGGGAAUAUUGCACAAUGGGCGCAAGCCUGAUGCAGCCAUGCCGCGUGUGUGAAGAAGGCCUUCGGGUUGUAAAGCACUUUCAGCGAGGAGGCGUUACUCGCAGAAUAAGCACCGGCUAACUCCGUGCCAGCAGCCGCGGUAAUAC
rnacentral:rRNA from 1 species